UACGUUCCCGGGUCUUGUACACACCGCCCGUCACACCAUGGGAGCGGGGUUUUACCAGAAGUAGGUAGCUUAACCGCAAGGGGGGCGCUUACCACGGUAGGAUUCGUGACUGGGGUG
rnacentral:rRNA from 1 species